rnacentral:piRNA from 1 species
UGUUAAUGGAUGGUUAUGCCUGUAUGCCU